rnacentral:rRNA from 1 species
UACGUAGGGUGCGAGCGUUGUCCGGAAUUAUUGGGCGUAAAGAGCUCGUAGGCGGUGUGUCGCGUCGGAUGUGAAAAUCCCCGGGGCUUAACUCCGGGUCUGCAUUCGGUACGGGCAUGCUGGAGUUCGGGAGAGGUGAGUGGAACUCCGAGUGUAGAGGUGAAAUUCGUAGAUAUUCGGAAGAACACAGUGGCGAAGGCGACUCACUGGCCGAUACUGACCGCUGAGGCGAUAAAGCGUGGG